rnacentral:rRNA from 1 species
AUGUCGGGAACCAUCUAUUCACCAGUGGACGACAAGGUUUUUGAGGAGGCGGCAAGGCUCUCGCUGGGAGAUCUAAUCGUGAGAGAGAAGGAAUCUGAUGGAGUAAUCUUCAUGGCCCAUCGAAUCUGCCCAAACCAACUAAGCGGGGUAGCAAAGGAUUGCGAUGGUGAAAACAGACCGUUAGAGAUGGAGUUUGAUAAGAUUGAAGCUUGGGCUAGGAUCGACCGCCUAUUUCAAUUCCCUAACUCCAUGGGGGCCGUCGGAACCCUGCUUUGCUCUCCGUCCAUCGACGAUUCAACCAUCCGAGAUGCGGCGUAUCAUUAUGAAACACUUUCGGGUGCAACAGAUGCGAUUGCUUGCGAUGGAAAAGGUAACUUUAUAGCUGCAGCUAAUUGGUUCCUUUUACAUAUUAGCUGUGUCAAUGCAAUGCAGAUAACAACAAUCAGGAACGGAUUAUACUUAGCAGGACGAAUCGGAUGUAAUAAGUUGAUGAUAGAAUCUGACAACAGUUCUGCAGUGGAGGCAAUUCAACUGGGAGGUGACCAUCACUGCCGGAACGGCCGCCUCAUCACCGAGUCCUUCCACAACAAGGCAACAACACGCAGGCACGCCCUCCUUGCGCCGCUGCUCGCCGGGGAAUCCGCAACCUUCCCCCCGCCGAACCCGCCACACUCCCGUGACUGGGACGGGCGCGCUCAAGUCAGAUUCAUUGAGGUGUUCCUACCCGAGGAUGGGGGCCUCGACGGCAUCACCUUGGUGCAUCUCUGGAAUGUCGGUCGGAAAAUCUAUGCGGAGGUGUGCGUCCUGGGGUCCGACGGCUGGGGCGUCCCUGCCAGCGCAGAGAUGGAGCUCCCUGCUCACAUGGAGCUCGCUGCUCAGAGGUAUGACGAACGCUUCCUUGCUGAUAUGCUACCACCCGUCCUUGGCAAGGUCUUCUGGGGGGUUCACCCUGGGUCUAGAUGUGGCAACGGCGAGCUUUUUCACCCUUGA